CGAGUGCAGCACAAAGCCGGAUCCUGUAGCUUGUUGUAUCGCUGAGUAGCUACUGACUAAAGGUCAGUUAGCAAGCCCACAUGCAUGUCUCCACGCCAGUGUCGUCGCCAUACAAAGGCUGCCGCUUUCGUGCCAGCGCUUGAUUUGUUUCCCCGAUAAGGCCAGUAUAAAUCAAUGUUUUUCUUAUUGCAGACGAUACCAACAGCCUAAAUCUGUUUCUCUUAUUGCCGACGAAGCUGAGGAACCCUUUCCCCCGCUAACAAGCGUGGUCUGUUUUGUGGUUUGGACUUCCAGUGUUGUCUAAAAGCAGACUGAAAGCGGUUACAGAUGCCGCCCGCUGCUUCGCUCAGCAGAUUCCAUCCACCGUGCCUGAACAGUGGACCUUGUUGAAAAGAUCACCAGGAGGAGUGACCUCAACGAUCAAUGUGACGGCCCCAUGCUGAUUUCAUGAGGACAUUUAUAACAUUCAGAAGGAUCACAAAGAGAUCUGUGGGAGGCCAUCCAGACAAACUUCUUUCCACUGAAAAAGGAAGAAGAGACUAGGAAUGAGAGGAAGAAUUGAAAGAGAGAGAGAAAGAGGGAGGGAGAAAGAGAGAGAGA